rnacentral:rRNA from 1 species
AGGAUGAACGCUGGCGGCGUGCCUAACACAUGCAAGUCGAACGUCCUGUCUCGCAAGAGGCAGGGAGUGGCGGACGGGUGAGUACCACGUGGGUCAUCUACCGUGAGGUGAGGAAUACCGGCGAGAAAUCGCCGACAAGACCGCAUAGGCUCGAUGCAAGUCGAGCAAAGCUCUUUCGAGAGAGGGAGCGCCACACGAGGAGCCUGCGCCCGAUUAGCUAGCUGGUGGAGUAACGGUUCACCAGGGCGACGAUCGGUAGCUGGUCUGAGAGGACGAUCAGCCACACUGGGAUUGAGAACGGCCCAGACUCCUACGGGGGGCAGCAGUGAGGAAUUUUCGUCAAUGGGGGCAACCCUGAACGAGCAACGCCGCGUGCAGGAAGAAGGUUUUCGGAUCGUAAACUGCUUUUCUCGGGGAAGAGAAUGGACGGUACCCGAGGAAUCAGCCCCGGCUAACUACGUGCCAGCAGCCGCGU